rnacentral:rRNA from 1 species
UACGUAGGUGGCAAGCGUUAUCCGGAUUUACUGGGUGUAAAGGGAGCGUAGACGGCCUUGCAAGUCUGGUGUGAAAGCCCGGGGCUCAACCCCGGGACUGCAUUGGAAACUGCAUGGCUGGAGUGCAGGAGAGGUAAGCGGAAUUCCUAGUGUAGCGGUGAAAUGCGUAGAUAUUAGGAGGAACACCAGUGGCGAAGGCGGCUUACUGGACUGUAACUGACGUUGAGGCUCGAAAGCGUGGGGAGCAAACAGG